GAUGAAUGCUGGCGGCGUGCCUAACACAUGCAAGUCGAGCGGCAGCGCGAGUAGUUUACUACUUGGCGGCGAGCGGCGGACGGCUGAGUAACGUGUAGGAACGUGCCCUAAAGAACGGAAUAACUGACCGAAAGGGUGGCUAAUGCGGCAUAUGUACUGCGGAUGAAAAUCUUCGGACGGGUUAGGAGCGGCCGGCGUUAGAUUAGGUAGUUGGUGAGGUAAUGGCUUACCAAGGCGACGAUCCAUAGCUGGUCUGAGAGGAUGAUCAGCCACACUGGGACUGAGACACGGCCCAGACUCCUACGGGAGGCAGCAGUGGGGAAUCUUCCACAAUGGGCGAAAGCCUGAUGGAGCCACGCCGCGUGAAGGAUGAAGGCCUUAGGGUCGUAAAGUUCUUUUAUAAGUGAAGAAUAUGACGGUAACUGAUGAAUAAGCACCGGCUAACUACGUG
rnacentral:rRNA from 1 species